rnacentral:rRNA from 1 species
ACUCAAAUGAAUUGACGGGGGAGCGCACAACCAGUGGAGCGUGUGGUUUAAUUCGAUACAAAGCGAAAAACCUUACCUGGGUUUGACAUGCAUCCGUAUGAGUUCGGUGAAAAUCGAGCUUCUUCAGGAUACACAGCUGCUGCAUGGCUGUCGUCAGCUCGUGCCGUGGGGUGUCGGCUUCAGUGCCGUAACGAGCGCAACCCCUAUUCUAUGUUAGAUGUACAUAGAAGACUGCCUGCCGAUGAGGCAGGAGGAAGGCGGGGAUGAUGUCAAGUCAGCAUGGCGCUUAUAUCCAGGGCUACACACACCCUACAAUGGAACGGACAACGGGUUGCCAAACCGCGAGGUGGAGCUAAUCCCUUAAACCGUUUCUCAGUUGGGAUUGCAGGCUGCAACUCGCCUGCAUGAACUAGGAAUUGGUAGUAAUCGCAGAUCAGCAGGCUGCGGUGAAUACGUUCUCGCUCCUUGUACACACCGCCCGU